rnacentral:rRNA from 1 species
UACGUAGGUGGCAAGCGUUGUCCGGAAUUACUGGGUGUAAAGGGCGUGUAGGCGGGUUAUUAAGUCAGAUGUGAAAUUCUUGGGCUCAACCCAAGCGCUGCAUCUGAAACUGAUGAUCUUGAGUACUGGAGAGGGAAGCGGAAUUCCUAGUGUAGCGGUGAAAUGCGUAGAUAUUAGGAGGAACACCAGUGGCGAAGGCGGCUUUCUGGACAGUAACUGACGCUGAGGCGCGAAAGCGUGGGGAGCAAACAGG